rnacentral:rRNA from 1 species
AUGCUUGGAGGCAGCACAGAGCUACAGCAGAAAAUUAUGACAGCCUUCCAUGACAGUCCAGUCAGAGGGCAUUCCGGGUUUCCAGUGACCUAUAAGCGUAUUCGCAGGCUGUUUGCUUGGCCGAAGAUGAAGACUCACAUUGAGCAAUAUGUCAGGUGCUCUCAAAUAUGCCAACAAGCGAAAACUGAAAGGGUGGCGCCGGGGCUGUUGCAACCUCUCCCAGUACCACAAGCCUCGUGGGAUAUGACAACAAUGGGCUUCAUCGAUGGAUUACCUCAAUCAGGUCAGCAUAACUGCAUCUGGGUUUUGGUCGAUCGGAUGACUAAGUUUGCUCAUUUUCUGCCUCUUGCCCACCCAUACACCACUUCUCGUGUGGCCCUGCUGUUCAUG